rnacentral:lncRNA from 1 species
CCGGAGGCAUCGACGUCGACGGUCAGGCCACCCCCAAUCCCGAAGGGCUUGUCGGUCUUGAUCUUCUUGCCGGUGCCGCAGACGACGGCGAAGGAGGAGGCGCGGCGGCCGAGGGACGGCAGGCCCUGGGCCCUGGCCGGCGCCGCCAGAGUCGACGAGGAGAUCAUGGAGGCUGCCAUUGCUGCUGUAGCUGUAGCUGUAGCUGCUUCGGUUCACUCGCUCUUGCUGCUAUGCCUGCCGGAUGCAGAGCCUCCAGGAAGCUACACGGAGCCAAUAUACUUGUGGCGCCAAAACCUGUGGAUAAUGCCAGGAGGACAGGUGCGACCGCCGUGGCGCCACGUGGCGGGGCGCGGUUGGCCGGGCACGAUAUGGCUGGGCCAGAACGUUAUCUUCUUGGGGAUUUUUUGUGGACGGGUGAAAUUGUCUCCUUGGAAUGGGAGAGGGGAAAUUUUGUGAUGGAUACAUGAGCUUUGCCAUGAAAAGAAUCAAGAACCUGUGGUGCCCAUGGUGUCAAGCAGAGUUUGGUACUAGAUGCCAACAGUUGCAAUGCAAUCUAGAAUGUACUGAUAAUCUGAUAUAUAUGAGGGAUGCAGCGACUCAAAUUUGUUGGGAUUCGAAUUUUCAGAGGUGAAUAAGGAGCUAGUAUUUGGAAAGCACCAUAUGCCAACCUUGUCAAAGUUGGACAUCAAUUAUGUGAUGUAGAAAGGUGGAAAAUUAAAGUUUGAC